rnacentral:lncRNA from 13 species
UUGGCUUUACUCACAGCAUAGCACGGGAUCGAGUCGCCAUCCACAGACUGCGUGUCUGUCUAUUGCAUAAGGACGUUACUACAAAAACGAGAAGCAGGCAAAAAAGGGUAUUCCCUUUGAUUCAGGCAGGAUGACAUAAUUCCACGAGCCUGCAGCUCUGGCAGGAUUUAUUGCACACUUUACCAGAGGGGGGGGGGGGNNNNNNNNNNNNNNNNNNNNNNNNNNNNNNNNNNNNNNNNNNNNNNNNNNNACACACACAGGGACAGAGUAGAGAUCACACACUCCAACAGACCCAAGUAUAUACACACACACACAGGACUGAGAGUAGAGAUCACACACUCAAACAGACCCAAGUGUAUAUACACACACACAGGGACAGAGUAGAGAUCACACACUCCAACAGACCCAAGUACAUAUACACACACAGGACUGAGAGUAGAGAUCACACACUCCAACAGACCCAAGUAUAUACACACACACACACACACACAUCAUGUCCUAUGUUGUUCCCACUUGGACACAUUGUGACUUGGUAACACUUCAUUGUGUGAUUAUUUGCCUAUACUAAAGACUAAGGAAAUACAGAAAGCCAACACUGAAAACACAGCGCCACUGGUGUCACUGUUGGCUGUGGGCUUUUGGACUCAGCCAUAGCAUGAAUUCCUGAAGGAUUGUGGGAUUGUAUACCUCACCAACUACAUUCCACCCCUGGCCAGGCUGUGUUCAUGUGUUGCCAUUAAACACCUCACUUCAGUACAAAUCCUUUGAAAUACCAAAAUGAUAUGUUGUUCUAGUAAUGGCAAUGAAUUCUACAUUAGAUAAAUAAAUUGUUGUGUGUACAGUAUGUUGUGUGUACAGUAUGUUGUGUGUACAGUAUGUUGUGUAUACAGUAUGUUGUGUAUACAGUAUGUUGUGUGUACAGUAUGUUGUGUGUACAGUAUGUUGUGUAUACAGUAUCUCUCAUUUUUGCUUCUAUACUCACCUCGUUUUGCCUUCUCCGACAGCGUCCCUAGAGAAGAAAACAGUAAAGCCUGGUGUAGACCAGUCAGGCAUGCUGGAGAGAGCCAAGGAGCAUUACCGGGAUGUGAAGAAGGUUCUGAACAUCCCAAUGGAGUCAGUAGUGUUUCAAAAGAGAAAGAACCGAGAGGAGAGGAUGAGAACUCUUUUCAAUGCUCUAAUGGCCUCAAAGUCCGACGCUGGUCUGUCCUCACUCCUUACCUCUCUGAAGAGUGGGCUGAAGGAGCCCAAAUCCACCACUGGUCUCUGGUUUGCGACACUGCAGAGUGAUGCCACAGAAUUGUCUGGAGACAGAGACUCCCAAUACAACCUCAUACUGCAGAAGAUCUCAGAGUUUCAAAGCUUCUCCAACAAAAAGCUCCCCUACUCCAAGGAGAAGUUCUGUCUCCUGGUCCUCUCCAUGUCACCCAAUCAGCUGCUUCGACCGGCCAUGCAGGAAGCACUGCUCUUCCUCACGGAGAACGUGCUGCUGUUGUUGCCGCGGCAACUCAAACAGUGGUACCAGUACCUGAAGCUCCCCUUCCCCACCACUGCAACCGCCUCCUAAAAAAAGGAUCCUCCUACUUGCACUGGUGCUCUCUCUGUUCUUCACUACCUGUCUACAAUGUGGGCCUGGGACUUACAGGCCUGGGUUGAGUCUGAAAUGGUUCCUUAUCCUCAACAUAGACCCGUAAUAUUGGGGAAUAUAGUCAUUUCAGACAGCCCUGGGUUCUUGGUGGGAUAUCCAGUGUUGGGGGCUCAGGUCAAGAUGAUCUGUUAACUGGUUGAUACAUUAAAAUGUGUUAAAAAAGAUUAGAGAAAAACUAAACUGAUGUUUUUUUAGUAAUGUUUUUGAAUGUUAAGUAGGGUUGUGAAGCCCCAUAUUUUAUUUAUUUAUAUAUAUAUAUAUAUGAGAUAACUAGCCCAGUUACUCUAGCUACAGACCAUGAGAGUGGAACAUAAAUAUUUAAGUAUCUAGCAGAACAUGGGAAUAACCACAGAACCACUGGUAUGUCUUCAUCUACAAUGCCUCAGGUUUUGCUGCUCUUACACACACACGAAACACAGAGGGGAAGCUUUCAGCUAGUGCCUCACUACCUGACCAUCUGAGUGUCACUCACAGUGACGAGAGAAGGGGAGAGAGGGUUGAGAAACAGCGUGAGGGUAGAGAGAGAGAGGUUGUGAUUCCCCUACAGAGAACCAUGGCAGUGUUCUAUAUCCUCUCCUGCUUUGUCAAAAUGUUUUAAUAUCUGCAUCAAUCUGGGUCAAUCUCAUCCUGUCAUGGUGUUAGUAGAUUCAGCUUCAAUAUGGAGAUAAUGAUCUCCCAUGGGGAGGGAGAGAGCGAUUGGUAGAGAAAAAGGGACAAGAAAGUCCAUCACAAAACUUUGCAAGCUGCACAAAACAAAUCAUGUUUUUGAUUGGUCUGGCCCCCCUUGAACUCGUUAUAAAGUACUACAGCCACACAUUUCAUUGAGUUUACAGCUGGUUUUCUCAUGCAUUGCACACACACUUGCCUCUGAGCUCUACUGUCUGCUUGUUGUUUGGUGGAACAGUGGUUGUGGGCCUUAAUGAAUUCCUUUUGCUUCUUUCCUGUCGCAUAUUCUUCUGAGUUAAAUGUGAGGGUUAUCUGAGGUGAAACAAGAGAAGACAACUUUCAUAAGAGAUAGAAUUAAGCAGGCCAAAACUGUUGAGUUUACACCGAGUCCAUUGCUUACAGAUGUCUGAUUUAGCACCUGAUUAGAUGUAAAGGAGGAAAAUCAGAGGCAUCUUAGCCCUAAAUACCAAUAGUUGUGCAUUAUGUUAGUAGUGGGUGUUGAGAGGACAGGCAGUUUCUGUUCUGGUCACUAGGUGGCAGCAGAGGAUCUCGGUCAGUGUCUCCAUAAAGAUGGUCUUACUGCUGUCAGGAGGUUAAAAACACCAAAUGGAAAACCAAGUCAGCUGUGAAAUGUGUACAGUACCAGUCAAGAGUUUGUUCACACCUCCUCAUUCAAGGGUUUUUCUGUAUUUGUACUGUUUUCUACAUUGUUGAAUACUAGUGAAGACAUAACUAUGAAAUAACACAGUAACCAAAGAAGUGUUAAACCAAUCAAUAUAUUUUAUAUUUGGAGAUUCUUCAAAGUAGCCACCCUUUGCAUUCUCUCAACCUGCUUCAUGAGGUAGUCACCUGGAAUGCCUGGAAUGUUCUCAACUAGCCUACCUGGUUAAAUAAAGGUGUUCUCAACUAGCCUACCUGGUUAAAUAAAGGUGUUCUCAACUAGCCUACCUGGUUAAAUAAAGGUGUUCUCAACUGGCCUACCUGGUUAAAUAAAGGUGUUCUCAACUAGCCUACCUGGUUAAAUAAAGGUGAAAUAAAAAA